rnacentral:rRNA from 1 species
GUGGCCAAGCUAUUAAGGGCAAACGGUGGAUGCCUUGGCGUCAAGAGGCGAUGAAAGACGUGGUUAGCUGCGAUAAGCUUCGGGGAGCUGCUAAACAAGCUUUGAUCCGGAGAUUUCUGAAUGGGGAAACCCGUCUCGUGUAAUGACGAGACAUCUGUGGCUGAAUACAUAGGCUACAGAGGCGAACGAGGUGAACUGAAACAUCUUAGUAACCUCAGGAAGAGAAAACAAUAGUGAUUUCCGUAGUAGCGGCGAGCGAACCGGAAACAGCCCAAACCGAGUAUAUGUUAAAGCCCGAAAGCGUUGUAUACUCGGGGUCGUGGGGUUUGAUCGGAUAGAGUUUCGGAUCUAUCGGGAAGUUACAAAUCUGAUUUAUAACUGAAGAGCCUGGAAAGGUUCACCGUAGAAGGUGAAAGUCCUGUAAGUAAAAUGAAUCAGACUUCCUGGAUCGAUUCCCCAAGUACCGCGGGACACGAGAAAUCCUGUGGGAAUUCGGGAGGACCAUCUCCUAAGGCUAAAUACUACUUGACGACCGAUAGUGAACAAGUACCGUGAGGGAAAGGUGAAAAGUACCCCGGUGAGGGGAGUGAAAUAGUACCUGAAACCGUUUGCCUACAAGCAGUGGGAGGGCUAUGAGUAUCGCUGCGGCGUUAUUCAGCCUGACCGCGUGCCUUUUGCAUAAUGAGUCAGCGAGUUACUUUACGUAGCAAGGUUAAGCCGAUAGGUGUAGCCGGAGCGAAAGCAAGUCUUAACAGGGCGUAUUAGUUGCGUGGAGUAGACCCGAAACCAAGUGAUCUAUCCAUGGCCAGGGUGAAGCGCAAGUAAAAUUGCGUGAAGGCCCGAACCGUUGUAGGUUGAAAACUACUCGGAUGAGCUGUGGAUAGGGGUGAAAGGCCAAACAAACUUGGAAAUAGCUGGUUCUCCCCGAAAUAUAUUUAGGUAUAGCCUUGCAAAUUAAGUAACGGGGGUAGAGCACUGGAUGGGCUAGGGGUCCUACCAGAUUACCAAACCUAACUAAACUCCGAAUACCGUUAACUUUUAUUGCAGGAGUCAGACUGCGGGAGCUAAGUUCCGUGGUCGAGAGGGAAACAGCCCAGAUCGCCAGCUAAGGUCCCUAAAUAUGUGCUAAGUGGGAAAGGAUGUGGAAAUGCACAGACAACCAGGAGGUUGGCUUAGAAGCAGCCAUCCUUUAAAGAAAGCGUAACAGCUCACUGGUCGAGUGAGUCUGCGCCGAAAAUGUAACGGGGCUCAAGCACAUUACCGAAGCUGCGGGUUCUUUUCCGUUUCGACGGAAAGGUCCGGUAGGGGAGCAUUCUGUUCGGGCUGAAGGUCGAUCGUAAGAACGGCUGGACAGGACAGAAGAGACCAUGCUGACAUGAGUAACGAUAAAGCGGGUGAAAAACCCGCUCGCCGAAAACCUAAGGUUUCCUGAGUAAAGCUAAUCUGCUCAGGGUUAGUCGAUCCCUAAGCCGAGGCCGAAAGGCGUAGGUAAUGGAAAACAGGCUAAUAUUCCUGUACCACCGGGUCAUCAAUGCCCCUUCGGGGGUGAGAGUGAUGGGGGGACGCAGAAGGGUAGGUCAUCCACCU